rnacentral:tRNA from 1 species
AGUCUUGAGGUGUUAACAUGUUGGAUUGCAAAUCCGAAGUAGGAGGGUAACACCUCCCUAGACUU